rnacentral:rRNA from 1 species
AUUGAACGCUGGCGGCAGGCCUAACACAUGCAAGUCGAACGGUAACAGGAAGAAGCUUGCUUCUUUGCUGACGAGUGGCGGACGGGUGAGUAAUGUCUGGGAAGCUGCCUGAUGGAGGGAGAUAACUACUGGAAACGGUAGCUAAUACCGCAUAAUGUCGCAAGACCAAAGAGGGGGACCUUCGGGCCUCUUGCCAUCGGAUGUGCCCAGAUGGGAUUAGCUAGUAGGUGGGGUAACGGCUCACCUAGGCGACGAUCCCUAGCUGGUCUGAGAGGAUGACCAGCCACACUGGAACUGAGACACGGUCCAGACUCCUACGGGAGGCAGCAGUGGGGAAUAUUGCACAAUGGGCGCAAGCCUGAUGCAGCUAUGCCGCGUGUAUGAAGAAGGCCUUCGGGUUGUAAAGUACUUUCAGCGGGGAGGAAGGGAGUAAAGUUAAUACCUUUGCUCAUUGACGUUACCCGCAGAAGAAGCACCGGCUAACUCCGUG